rnacentral:rRNA from 1 species
UACGAGAGGCCCAAACGUUAUUCGGAAUUACUGGGCUUAAAGAGUUCGUAGGCGGCGCAGAAAGUAGGGUGUGAAAGCCCUCGGCUCAACCGAGGAAUUGCGCCCUAAACUACUGUGCUUGAGGAACCUAGAGGUGAGCGGAACUGAUGGUGGAGCGGUGAAAUGCGUUGAUAUCAUCAGGAACACCGGAGGCGAAGGCGGCUCACUGGGGGUUAUCUGACGCUGAGGAACGAAAGCCAGGGGAGCGAACGGG